GAGCUUGCUUCUCUUGAGAGCGGCGGACGGGUGAGUAAUACCUAGGAAUCUGCCUGAUAGUGGGGGAUAACGUUCGGAAACGGACGCUAAUACCGCAUACGUCCUACGGGAGAAAGCAGGGGACCUUCGGGCCUUGCGCUAUCAGAUGAGCCUAGGUCGGAUUAGCUAGUUGGUGAGGUAAUGGCUCACCAAGGCUACGAUCCGUAACUGGUCUGAGAGGAUGAUCAGUCACACUGGAACUGAGACACGGUCCAGACUCCUACGGGAGGCAGCAGUGGGGAAUAUUGGACAAUGGGCGAAAGCCUGAUCCAGCCAUGCCGCGUGUGUGAAGAAGUCUUCGGAUUGUA
rnacentral:rRNA from 1 species